rnacentral:misc_RNA from 1 species
UUUCCGUAGGUGAACCUGCGGAAGGAUCAUUAAUGAGUUGUCAUGGGGUUCGAUGCUGGCAGCCAAUUUUUGGAUGCAUGUGCUUGCCCUAACAAUCAUCUUCCAAACACCUGUGCACAUUUUUGAGGGAGUCUUGAGUUGGUUGCCGCUCUUGGGUGAUUUUCUCACAUUUCCUUAAAUCAUUAUACGCUAUUAACAAUGUUGAACGUGCUCUGUGCCGCAAGGCUAUUAAUAUAAUACAACUUUUAACAACGGAUCUCUUGGCUCUCGCAUCGAUGAAGAGCGCAGC